ACGGGCCCUAAGGCCAGUCACUACUGCGUUACAAGACCAACAAAUCCGUUACCGCUGGCAGUUCCCAUUCGCCCUAGUAGCACGCAAAGGCACUAUGGAAGCCACCAUCAGUACACCAGAGGAUGUACCAAUCUUCCUAGAAGCACUGGGGCUUCCACCCAUCCAGAUAAUGGAUUGGGCAGGCCGGUAACAACAGAAUCCUGGGCAGGCUGGU